rnacentral:rRNA from 1 species
UGGUGGAGUGAUUUGUCUGGUUAAUUCCGUUAACGAACGAGACCCCUCCCUAUUAAAUAGCAAUCCUAGUGAUUUUCACUGGGUGCGCUUCUUAGAGGGACGAGCAUUUUACUAGAUGCGGGAAGAAAGGGGCAAUAACA